ensembl:lncRNA
CCCCAAAGCCCCCCCAGGUCCCGGCAGCUCACAGCACUCACUUGUCCCCCAUGAAGGCCCCAAAAGCCCCCCAAAAGGCCCCAAAAGCCCCCCAAAAGGCCCCAAAAGGCCCCAUGAAGGCCCCAGAAGGCCCCCAAAAGUCCCCCAAAAGGCCCCAAAAGGUCCUGGAAGAUCCCCAGAAGGCCCCAAAGCCCCGCGCAGGUCCUGGCAGCUCACAGCACUCACUUGUCCCCCCUGCAGCCCCCCAAAAGCCCCCAUGAAGGCCCCAAAAGCCCCCAUGAAGGCCCCGAUAGCCCCCCAAAAGGCCCCCAAAAGCCCCCCAGAAGCCCCCCAAAAGGCCCCUAAAGGCCCUGAUAGCCCCCCAAAAAGACCCCAGCAGCCCCCCAAAAGGCUCCAGAAGCCCCCCAGAAGCCCCCCAAAAGGCCCCAGCAGCCCCCCAGCAGCCCCCCAAAGCCCCCCCCAGGUCCCGGCAGCUCACAGCACUCACUUGUCCCCCAUGAAGGCCCC